rnacentral:rRNA from 1 species
UAGAUUGAUGGCGAGUGGCGAACGGGUGAGUAAUACAUCGGAACGUGCCCUGUAGUGGGGGAUAACUAGUCGAAAGAUUAGCUAAUACCGCAUACGACCUGAGGGUGAAAGUGGGGGACCGCAAGGCCUCAUGCUAUAGGAGCGGCCGAUGUCUGAUUAGCUAGUUGGUGGGGUAAAGGCCCACCAAGGCGACGAUCAGUAGCUGGUCUGAGAGGACGAUCAGCCACACUGGGACUGAGACACGGCCCAGACUCCUACGGGAGGCAGCAGUGGGGAAUUUUGGACAAUGGGCGAAAGCCUGAUCCAGCAAUGCCGCGUGUGUGAAGAAGGCCUUCGGGUUGUAAAGCACUUUUGUCCGGAAAGAAAUGGCUCUGGUUAAUACCUGGGGUCGAUGACGGUACCGGAAGAAUAAGGACCGGCUAACUACGUGCCAGCAGCCGCGGUAAUACGUAGGGUCCAAGCGUUAAUCGGAAUUACUGGGCGUAAAGCGUGCGCAGGCGGUUGUGCAAGACCGAUGUGAAAUCCCCGAGCUUAACUUGGGAAUUGCAUUGGUGACUGCACGGCUAGAGUGUGUCAGAGGGGGGUAGAAUUCCACGUGUAGCAGUGAAAUGCGUAGAGAUGUGGAGGGAUACCGAUGGCGAAGGCAGCCCCCUGGGAUAACACUGACGCUCAUGCACGAAAGCGUGGGGAGCAAACAGGAUUAGAUACCCUGGUAGUCCACGCCCUAAACGAUGUCAACUAGUUGUUGGGGAUUCAUUUCCUUAGUAACGUAGCUAACGCGUGAAGUUGACCGCCUGGGGAGUACGGUCGCAAGAUUAAAACUCAAAGGAAUUGACGGGGACCCGCACAAGCGGUGGAUGAUGUGGAUUAAUUCGAUGCAACGCGAAAAACCUUACCUACUCUUG